UGGAAUAAGGCUAUAAGCAGGUUAAAAAAAAAAAACCAUAUGCAUCUAAAAACAUUUAAGUUGUUCAUCAUCCAACUUUUCUAAAACUUUAGAGUGAACACACAAUUUAGAGAUCAGCCUAUAGUUGUUAACUAUGGAGGGAUCACCACCUUUCAGCAGGGGAAGAAUAAGCAGGCUUCCAUAUUCUUGGAAUUUCAUUUUCAUUAAGAGUAAGAUUAAAAAUAUGACACAGAGGUUCUGCUAUAAAGUCCACAACUGACCUAAAAAAAGGCUUGAGGUUGUCAGGUCCGGCAGAUUUACUUACAUCCAACUGGUGUAAAGCCCUAUGGACCUCGACUAC